rnacentral:rRNA from 1 species
GAUGAACGCUGGCGGCGUGCCUAAUACAUGCAAGUCGAGCGAACAGACGAGGAGCUUGCUCCUCUGACGUUAGCGGCGGACGGGUGAGUAACACGUGGAUAACCUACCUAUAAGACUGGGAUAACUUCGGGAAACCGGAGCUAAUACCGGAUAAUAUAUUGAACCGCAUGGUUCAAUAGCGAAAGACGGUUUUGCUGUCACUUAUAGAUGGAUCCGCGCCGCAUUAGCUAGUUGGUAAGGUAACGGCUUACCAAGGCGACGAUGCGUAGCCGACCUGAGAGGGUGAUCGGCCACACUGGAACUGAGACACGGUCCAGACUCCUACGGGAGGCAACAGUAGGGAAUCUUCCGCAAUGGGCGAAAGCCUGACGGAGCAACGCCGCGUGAGUGGUGAAGGUCUUCGGAUCGUAAAACUCUGUUAUUAGGGAAGAACAAAUGUGUAAGUAACUAUGCACGUCUUGACGGUACCUAAUCAGAAAGCCACGGCUAACUACGUG